rnacentral:pre_miRNA from 1 species
UUAACUCAAAUUAGUAUGGAAUUGGAUACGUUUGCCUACGUUUACCGCUAGGGGCGCUGUACACACUGCAUACAAAUUUGAGUUA